GGACACAGUGCGCUAAUGUCUCUUUGCUGGCAAACAGACAUAACUCUUCAAACUGGUUCCAAGAGUAUCAUAAGAUCACGCAGUCAUAUGCACUAAGUUAAGUACGAAUUAAUUGCUGUUUGUGUAUCCGGUAUUCAUUCAUAAAAAGAGGUAAUUAAGGUACAAGCGUUGCUUGACUUUCUCUCUGAGAUCUGCAGAAGCAAACUGUUUCCAGAGAGUUCCCAGCAAGCCGAGUGAAGCAGUUUCCCAAAGGAAGGACAACGGGACGCAUUGCCGUGGUUACGGACGUAACUGCAGUUUGGUCGGCGGACAGAGCGAGCUGCCCCACCCAACAGCUACGGAGAUUAGCUGAAGCUAAUCUUUUGUUCACAGAGCUUUUUUCAAACUACGUCGUCGCCCAGACAACCUUUCCUCAGUACGGUUCAUACGAGACUCUGUUUCAGCACAUGCCUCAGUUCCAGCACCCAAAGUGAUUACCAAACCUCCAUCCCUGGCUUUUCCUCUCUUAUUGAGUCCUGUAUCAAGCCUGUGUUAAAUCCCCCUACAAGAACUCUCUGCAACUAAACAAGAUGAGUGGACGGAUAGAUAUGCCGCUAGAGCUCCGGAGGUGAGAGGGUAACAGGUGCAACUCAUUAUUGUCAUUUGGAGGAGUAUAAGAGAGCAGUCUGCCUGGACUUCUACGCCUGAGUGUUUGCCAGUUGUUAACAUUACAGUUGACAGUACUCUUGGUGCUGUCUAAGUCCAGUGCAAGUUCAAGUUUGUUUCCUAUCCAACUCAAAUUUCAAGGUUCAAGAUUUCCAGAAAGCCGUCAGAUCAAGUUCCAGCUGGCAGUCACUAGCUCAUCAUCCUCCAGGCCUCAAGCUAAGCGAACCCUGUCCUAUCCUGACUUCUGGAUCAAGAAGGGAUUCUCUCAGGCAAUAUCUUGUACUCACUCUCAGACUCCACAUCGACCCCUCCCUGGAAGAUCAUCCAUCCAAAUCCAUGCUGUGUUUCCAGUCCUGGGUCCAGCUCAUAAUCCUUCCCUGUGGAAAAAUACAUUUAUUAAAAUUUUUCUCUGCCUCCUGAGCUCCUCUGCAUGUGGAUCAAAUCAGCAAAUAAAAUAAUGGCAGAUCUCUGCUUUACCUCA